rnacentral:misc_RNA from 1 species
UACGGAGGAUCCAAGCGUUAUCCGGAAUCAUUGGGUUUAAAGGGUCCGUAGGCGGGGUAAUAAGUCAGUGGUGAAAGUCUGCAGCUCAACUGUAGAACUACCAUUGAUACUGUUAUCCUUGAGUAAUUAUGAAGUGGUUAGAAUAUGUAGCGUAGCGGUGAAAUGCAUAGAUAUUUCAUAGAAUACCGAUUGCGAAGGCAGAUCACUAAUCAUUCACUGACGCUGAUGGGCGAAAGCGUAGGUAGCGAACAGG